rnacentral:rRNA from 1 species
GAUGAACGCUGGCGGCGUGCCUAAUACAUGCAAGCCGAGCGAACGGACGAGAAGCUUGCUUCUCUGAUGUUAGCGGCGGACGGGUGAGUAACACGUGGAUAACCUACCUAUAAGACUGGGGUAACUUCGGGAAACCGUAGCUAAUACCGGAUAAUAUUUUGAACCGCAUGGUUCAAAAGUGAAAGACGGUCUUGCCGUCACUUAUAGAUGGAUCCGCGCUGCAUUAGCUAGUUGGUAAGGUAACGGCUUACCAAGGCAACGAUGCAUAGCCGACCUGAGAGGGUGAUCGGCCACACUGGAACUGAGACACGGUCCAGACUCCUACGGGAGGCAGCAGUAGGGAAUCUUCCGCAAUGGGCGAAAGCCUGACGGAGCAACGCCGCGUGAGUGAUGAAGGUCUUCGGAUCGUAAAACUCUGUUAUUAGGGAAGAACAUAUGUGUAAGUAACUGUGCACAUCUUGACGGUACCUAAUCAGAAAGCCACGGCUAACUACGUG